rfam:Schizopora paradoxa strain KTC8140 unplaced genomic scaffold SCHPAscaffold_00109, whole genome shotgun sequence.
GCCGUGAUAGCUCAGUUGGGAGAGCAGUAGACUGAAGUGCUUAUGUAAGCGUCUUCUAAAGGUCACCCGUUCGAUCCGGGUUCAUGGCA